rnacentral:rRNA from 1 species
AUUGAACGCUGGCGGAAUGCUUUACACAUGCAAGUCGAACGGCAGCACGGGAGCUUGCUCCUGGUGGCGAGUGGCGAACGGGUGAGUAAUGCAUCGGAACGUACCUUUUAGUGGGGGAUAACUAUCCGAAAGGAUAGCUAAUACCGCAUACGCCACGAGGGGGAAAGCAGGGGAUCGCAAGACCUUGCGCUAAUAGAGCGGCCGAUGUUCGAUUAGCUAGUUGGUGGGGUAAAGGCGCACCAAGGCGACGAUCGAUAGCUGGUCUGAGAGGAUGAUCAGCCACACUGGAACUGAGACACGGUCCAGACUCCUACGGGAGGCAGCAGUGGGGAAUUUUGGACAAUGGGGGCAACCCUGAUCCAGCCAUUCCGCGUGAGUGAAGAAGGCCUUCGGGUUGUAAAGCUCUUUCGGCAGGAACGAAACGGUGGUUACUAAUACUAGCUACUAAUGACGGUACCUGAAGAAGAAGCACCGUCUAACUACGUGCCAGCCGCCGCAGUAAAAC